CAUUUUAUUGGUAAUUACAGAGUUACUUUAUUUGCAUAUUACAGAGCUGCUAGUGGCCCUAGUGAAAAUGCUUAAUGUCGCUGAGCAUCUUGGAAGGAAUUACUCAACCCAGGGAGGGAGAAUUCAGUAAUUAUUUCCUUAAAACUAGAAUUUGCUAAUAACUUUGCAGUAGAUCACUUUGUGCUCCCCAAUACAGCAAUUAAAUAAUAGCAAUUAAGUGCCAAAGUAACUCAGGCAUAGGGCCUAUCCCCAAAUAGGACCUCUGCUUUAUUUCCUUUGAAAGAGGAAUAAAGCUACAGUUGGCCCUUUUGACUCCUGAACCACCAGGGAACACCGAUUCCUCUUAGAGCCAGUUAGAGAAGGCUGGUGCUAAAUGUCAUCUCCUCAUCUUCAGAGCAGGAUCUGGAAACCCAGAGAGACGCCUAGGGUCCAUCCUGCAGCGAGGAAAGGCCGGCUCUCCAGAGCAGGAUCUGGAAACCCAGAGAGAGGCCUAGGGUCCAUCCUGCAGCGAGGAAAGGCCGGCUCUCCAGAGCAGGAUCUGGAAACCCAGAGAGACGCCUAGGGUCCAUCCUGCAGCGAGGAAAGGCCGGCUCUCCAGAGCAGGAUCUGGAAACCCAGAGAGACGCCUAGGGUCCAUCCUGCAGCGAGGAAAGGCCGGCUCUCCAGAGCAGGAUCUGGAAACCCAGAGAGACGCCUAGGGUCCAUCCUGCAGCGAGGAAAGGCCGGCUCUUCAGAGCAGGAUCUGGAAACCCAGAGAGAGGCCUAGGGUCCAUCCUGCAGCGAGGAAAGGCCGGCUCUCCACUCUAGCAGCUGGGAUGGCAGGCACAGAGGUCAGGUAAGAGGAUUCUGGCAUCAAGCUGGCUGGGCUUGUUGGCUGGGUCCGGCUUAUCAUCCAGGUGUCUUGGACAGGUUACUCAACCUCUCUAGGUCUCAGUUUUCUCAUCAGUAAAGUGGGGGGUCAGCAUGUGAUCGACUGCACCUGGUGCCACUUGGGGUUUGAUCUGCCCAGGAUCAAAUCCUGGCUCCACAUGCACACACCCAGAGGUAGUGUGACAUUGGGCCACUCAUACGCUCUCUGAGAGCACCAGUUUCUCACCUCCAUGGCCGGCCUGACCCCUGCCUCCAGGUAGGUUUGUGAGGAAUAUGCAGUGGCCCUCUGAGAAGGAAUAUCCAAUGAGAUAGAAGAGGUCCAGCCCUCAGUACAGGACUUGGCAUCGAGCUCCGUAAUGGCUAGUCCCCAUGUGCAGCUUGGCCUUGCCUGGUAUUAUACCUAGGAAGUUUUUCUCUGUAGCUUAAGGCAUUGGUCCAGAGUCAUAUUUCUUCCCAGCCUCGAUGCUGAUCUCACUGUUAUUGAUCAUUUACAUUUUGGCAUGGCCUUUUCUG
rnacentral:lncRNA from 10 species